rnacentral:rRNA from 1 species
GUGGGGAAUAUUGGGCAAUGGGGGAAACCCUGACCCAGCAACGCCGCGUGAGGGAAGAAGGUUUUCGGAUUGUAAACCUCUGUCCUUGGUGACGAAGGAAGUGACGGUAACCAAGGAGGAAGCCCCGGCUAACUACGUGCCAGCAGCCGCGGUAAUACGUAGGGGGCAAGCGUUGUCCGGAAUGACUGGGCGUAAAGGGCGUGUAGGCGGCAGAGUAAGUCUGGAGUGAAAGUCCUGCUUUCAGGGUAGGAAUUGAUUUGGAGACUGGUUGGCUUGAGUGCGGAAGAGGUAAGUGGAAUUCCCAGUGUAGCGGUGAAAUGCGUAGAGAUUGGGAGGAACACCAGUGGCGAAGGCGACUUACUGGGCCGUAACUGACGCUGAGGCGCGAAAGCGUGGGGAGCGAACAGGAUUAGAAACCCCUGUAGUCC